GGAAGGGGUGUAUUUAUUAGAUAAAAAACCAAUGCCCUUCGGGGCUUUUUGGUGAUUCAUGAUAACUUUACGGAUCGCAUAGCCUUGCGCUGGCGACGGUUCAUUCAAAUUUCUGCCCUAUCAACUUUCGAUGGUAAGGUAUUGGCUUACCAUGGUUUCAACGGGUAACGGGGAGUUAGGGUUCGAUUCCGGAGAGGGAGCCUGAGAAACGGCUACCACAUCCAAGGAAGGCAGCAGGCGCGCAAAUUACCCAAUCCCGACACGGGGAGGUAGUGACAAUAAAUACUGAUACAGGGCUCUUUUGGGUCUUGUAAUUGGAAUGAGUACAAUUUAAACCUCUUAACGAGGAACAAUUGGAGGGCAAGUCUGGUGCCAGCAGCCGCGGUAAUUCCAGCUCCAAUAGCGUAUAUUAAAGUUGUUGCAGUUAAGAAGCUCGUAGUUGAAACUUGGGCCUGGCUGGCGGGUCCGCCUCACCGCGUGCACUCGUCCGGCCGGGCCUUCCUUCUGAAGAACCUCAUGCCCUUCACUGGGCGUGCUGGGGAACCAGGACUUUUAC
rnacentral:rRNA from 1 species